rnacentral:rRNA from 1 species
CCUACGGGGGGCUGCAGUGGGGAAUAUUGGACAAUGGGCGAAAGCCUGAUCUAGCCAUGCCGCGUGUGUGAAGAAGGCCUUCGGGUUGUAAAGCACUUUCAGUGGGGAAGAAAGCCUUGGGGCUAAUACCCUCGAGGAAGGACAUCACCCACAGAAGAAGCACCGGCUAACUCCGUGCCAGCAGCCGCGGUAAUACGGAGGGUGCGAGCGUUAAUCGGAAUUACUGGGCGUAAAGCGCGCGUAGGCGGUCUGAUAAGCCGGUUGUGAAAGCCCCGGGCUCAACCUGGGAACGGCAUCCGGAACUGUCAGGCUAGAGUGCAGGAGAGGAAGGUAGAAUUCCCGGUGUAGCGGUGAAAUGCGUAGAGAUCGGGAGGAAUACCAGUGGCGAAGGCGGCCUUCUGGACUGACACUGACGCUGAGGUGCGAAAGCGUGGGUAGCAAACAGGAUUAGAUACCCCGGUAGUC